rnacentral:Y_RNA from 1 species
GGCUGGUCCAAAGGCAGGGAGUUAUCUCAAUUGAUUGUUCCUAGUUACAGAAUGAACUCCUUAUUCUACUCUUUCCCCCUUCUCACUACUGCACUUGACGGGUCUUUA